rnacentral:rRNA from 1 species
GACGAACGCUGGCGGCGUGCUUAACACAUGCAAGUCGAACGGAAAGGCCCUGCUUUUGUGGGGUGCUCGAGUGGCGAACGGGUGAGUAACACGUGAGUAACCUGCCCUUGACUUUGGGAUAACUUCAGGAAACUGGGGCUAAUACCGGAUAGGAGCUCCUGCUGCAUGGUGGGGGUUGGAAAGUUUCGGCGGUUGGGGAUGGACUCGCGGCUUAUCCGCUUGUUGGUGGGGUAGUGGCUUACCAAGGUUUUGACGGGUAGCCGGCCUGAGAGGGUGACCGGCCACAUUGGGACUGAGAUACGGCCCAGACUCGUACGGGAGGCAGCAGUGGGGAAUAUGGCACAAUGGGCGGAAGCCUGAUGCAGCAGCGCCGGGUGCGGGAUAACGGCCUUCGAGGUGUAAACCGCUGUCGCCUGUGACGAAGCGUGAGUGACGGUAAUGGGUAAGAAAGCACCGGCUAACUACGUG